rnacentral:rRNA from 1 species
UACGUAGGGUCCGAGCGUUGUCCGGAAUUAUUGGGCGUAAAGAGCUCGUAGGCGGUUUGUCGCGUCUGCUGUGAAAUCCCGAGGCUCAACCUCGGGUCUGCAGUGGGUACGGGCAGACUGGAGUGCGGUAGGGGAGAAUGGAAUUCCUGGUGUAGCGGUGGAAUGCGCAGAUAUCAGGAGGAACACCGGUGGCGAAGGCGGCAUCCUGGACCAAUAUUGACGCUGAGGAGCGAAAGCCAGGGGAGCAAACGGG